AUUGAACGCUGGCGGCAGGCCUAACACAUGCAAGUCGAGCGAGCGGCGGACGGGUGAGUAAUGUAUGGGAAAUUGCCUGAUGGAGGGGGAUAACUACUGGAAACGGUAGCUAAUACCGCAUACCAUCAGAUGUGCCCAGAUGGGAUUAGCUGGUGGGUGGGGUAACGGCUAACCUAGGCGACGCUCCCUAGCUGGUCUGAGAGGAUGACCAGCCAAACUGGAACUGAGACACGGUCCAGACUCCUACGGGAGGCAGCAGUGGGGAAUAUUGCAAAAUGGGCGCAAGCCUGAUGCAGCCAUGCCGCGUGUGUGAAGAAGGCCUUCGGGUUGUAAAGCACUUUCAGCAGGGAGGCGUUACCCACAGAAGAAGCACCGGCUAACUCCGUGCCAGCCGCCGCGGUAAUAC
rnacentral:rRNA from 1 species